rnacentral:rRNA from 1 species
CGUAGGGGGCUAGCGUUGUCCGGAAUUACUGGGCGUAAAGGGUGCGUAGGCGGCAUUUUAAGUCAGAUGUGAAAUACCCGGGCUUAACUCGGGGGGUGCAUUUGAAACUGGAAUACUUGAGUGCAGGAGAGGUAAGUGGAAUUCCUAGUGUAGCGGUGAAAUGCGUAGAUAUUAGGAGGAACACCAGUGGCGAAGGCGACUUACUGGACUGUAACUGACGCUGAGGCACGAAAGCGUGGGGAGCAAACAGGAUUAGAUACCCUGGUAGUCCACGCUGUAAACGAUGGAUACUAGGUGUAGGGAGCGAUAGUUCUCUGUGCCGCAGCUAACGCAAUAAGUAUCCCGCCUGGGGAGUACGAUCGCAAGGUUG